AAAUCAAAAUCUGAUUAGGAGAAAGAGGCAUGGCAGGGUGUGGCUAAAGAGACAGGAAGGAGUCUCAUCAAUAAAAGGCUCUCCUGUGUCUCUUCCCCACAAGACCUAAACUACUGGUGGAAGUAAAUAGAGUAUAGAAGAGAUUCUAGCACAGAAGAGUGGACAUGGACAAACUCUUACAAGCUUUAAGAAGAUUUCCCAUCUGGUCAACGUAUCCUGAGAAACCAAUGUACCUGAAACUAUCUUGAGAAACCAAUGAACCUGAAACGUGUAUGCAUCUUCUGCCUCAACAGUGUCAAUUCACUGCAGAAAGAGCCUCAUGGAAAAGGUUUAUUGUUCUUCUUUUGCAUAGUGGUUUCUCAGAAAAAUGACAUCAGGUCCAACUGGCAGCUAUGAAAGCAGAUUCCCAAUAUCAAGGAAAUGGAGCCCCAGCUGAGAGCUUUUCUACAGAUGAAUCCUAGAAUGCUGAAGUUCCAAGUGGACGUGACCUUGGAUGUUGACACGACCCAUAACUUCUUUAUUAUUUCUGAUGACCUCUGGAGCAUCCAAUGUAAGCAUAUCAAAUAGAAUCAGCAAGAGCUUGCUGGGAGAUUCGACUUCACAGUUUGUGUCUUGGGCUCUCCUCCUUUUACCUCUGGUGACCAUGAUUGGGAGGUGGGUAUGGGAACAGGUGAAGAAUGGGAGCUGGCAAUUUGCAAAAAAUCUCUUGAUCAACAAGGAAAGAUUACACUUCAGAGUGUCUAUCCUGGACUCUGAGUUUGAGGGCAGGAGGCUACUUCUUUGCCAGCACAAGGCCUAUCUCCCGUGUGGACCCCACGUUACAGCAAAUGGGGAUUUUCUUGUAUACGAACAUGGAAAAAAAAUUAUUUUCCUAAACUGAAGAUGGAUCCCAAAUCCUUACACCCAUGUGUUUCUGCUGAGGAGCCACUGUAUCCAGUUUUUUUGUUCCUUCAACUCUCCGAGAUCAGCAUGUCCUGAGUAUCUGUCCUGUGAUGAACCUGGGCACUGCCAAUUUUCCAGUCCAUCCGGGGA
rnacentral:lncRNA from 1 species